rnacentral:rRNA from 1 species
AUUGAACGCUGGCGGCAGGCCUAACACAUGCAAGUCGAACGAGUGGCGGAAGGGUGAGUAAUGUAUGGGAAAGUGCCUGCUGGAGGGGGACAACUACUGGAAACGGUAGCUAAUACCGCAUACCAUCAGAUGUGCCCAGAUGGGCUUAGCUUGCUGGUGGGGUAACGGCUCACCAAGGCGACGAUUCCUGGCUGUUCUGAGGGGAUGACCAUGCCCACUGGAACUGAGCCACGGUCCAGACUCCUACGGGAGGCAGCAGUGGGGAAUAUUGCACAAUGGGCGCAAGCCUGAUGCAGCCAUGCCGCGUGUAUGAAGAAGGCCUUCGGGUUGUAAAGUACUUUCAGCGGGGAGGCGUUACCCGCAGAAGAAGCACCGGCUAACUCCGUGCCAGCAGCCGCGGUAAUUC